GAUGAACGCUGGCGGCGUGCCUAAUACAUGCAAGUCGAGCGAACGGACGAGAAGCUUGCUUCUCUGAUGUUAGCGGCGGACGGGUGAGUAACACGUGGAUAACCUACCUAUAAGACUGGGAUAACUUCGGGAAACCGUAGCUAAUACCGGAUAAUAUUUUGAACUGCAUGGUUCAAAAGUGAAAGACGGUCUUACUGUCACUUAUAGAUGGAUCCGCGCUGCAUUAGCUAGUUGGUAAGGUAACGGCUUACCAAGGCAACGAUGCAUAGCCGACCUGAGAGGGUGAUCGGCCACACUGGAACUGAGACACGGUCCAGACUCCUACGGGAGGCAGCAGUAGGGAAUCUUCCGCAAUGGGCGAAAGCCUGACGGAGCAACGCCGCGUGAGUGAUGAAGGUCUUCGGAUCGUAAAACUCUGUUAUUAGGGAAGAACAUAUGUGUAAGUAACUGUGCACAUCUUGACGGUACCUAAUCAGAAAGCCACGGCUAACUACGUG
rnacentral:rRNA from 1 species